UAUUACAAUGAAGAGUUUGAUCCUGGCUCAGGAUGAACGCUAGCUACAGGCUUAACACAUGCAAGUCGAGGGGCAGCAUGGUCUUAGCUUGCUAAGGCCGAUGGCGACCGGCGCACGGGUGAGUAACACGUAUCCAACCUGCCGUCUACUCUUGGACAGCCUUCUGAAAGGAAGAUUAAUACAAGAUGGCAUCAUGAGUCCGCAUGUUCACAUGAUUAAAGGUAUUCCGGUAGACGAUGGGGAUGCGUUCCAUUAGAUAGUAGGCGGGGUAACGGCCCACCUAGUCUUCGAUGGAUAGGGGUUCUGAGAGGAAGGUCCCCCACAUUGGAACUGAGACACGGUCCAAACUCCUACGGGAGGCAGCAGUGAGGAAUAUUGGUCAAUGGGCGAGAGCCUGAACCAGCCAAGUAGCGUGAAGGAUGACUGCCCUAUGGGUUGUAAACUUCUUUUAUAAAGGAAUAAAGUCGGGUAUGGAUACCCGUUUGCAUGUACUUUAUGAAUAAGGAUCGGCUAACUCCGUGCCAGCAGCCGCGGUAAUACGGAGGAUCCGAGCGUUAUCCGGAUUUAUUGGGUUUAAAGGGAGCGUAGAUGGAUGUUUAAGUCAGUUGUGAAAGUUUGCGGCUCAACCGUAAAAUUGCAGUUGAUACUGGAUAUCUUGAGUGCAGUUGAGGCAGGCGGAAUUCGUGGUGUAGCGGUGAAAUGCUUAGAUAUCACGAAGAACUCCGAUUGCGAAGGCAGCCUGCUAAGCUGCAACUGACAUUGAGGCUCGAAAGUGUGGGUAUCAAACAGGAUUAGAUACCCUGGUAGUCCACACGGUAAACGAUGAAUACUCGCUGUUUGCGAUAUACGGCAAGCGGCCAAGCGAAAGCGUUAAGUAUUCCACCUGGGGAGUACGCCGGCAACGGUGAAACUCAAAGGAAUUGACGGGGGCCCGCACAAGCGGAGGAACAUGUGGUUUAAUUCGAUGAUACGCGAGGAACCUUACCCGGGCUUAAAUUGCAGAUGAAUUACGGUGAAAGCCGUAAGCCGCAAGGCAUCUGUGAAGGUGCUGCAUGGUUGUCGUCAGCUCGUGCCGUGAGGUGUCGGCUUAAGUGCCAUAACGAGCGCAACCCUUGUUGUCAGUUACUAACAGGUNGCUGAGGACUCUGACAAGACUGCCAUCGUAAGAUGUGAGGAAGGUGGGGAUGACGUCAAAUCAGCACGGCCCUUACGUCCGGGGCUACACACGUGUUACAAUGGGGGGUACAGAGGGCCGCUACCACGCGAGUGGAUGCCAAUCCCCAAAACCUCUCUCAGUUCGGACUGGAGUCUGCAACCCGACUCCACGAAGCUGGAUUCGCUAGUAAUCGCGCAUCAGCCACGGCGCGGUGAAUACGUUCCCGGGCCUUGUACACACCGCCCGUCAAGCCAUGGGAGCCGGGGGUACCUGAAGUGCGUAACCGCGAGGAGCGCCCUAGGGUAAAACUGGUGACUGGGGCUAAGUCGUAACAAGGUAGCCGUACCGGAAGGUGCGGCUGGAACACCUCCUUUCU
rnacentral:rRNA from 1 species